CCCGACGGGCGCACUUGCAAAUCGCCGCUGUUGCCCCCAUCAUCCGGGCAUGGUUGUAAUUCCGGCAAUCUGGAGGCGUUCUGGACGCGGGUUCGAUUCCCGCCACCUCCACCCAAGCGUUUUGAAGGUCUGAGCAGCACGUUUGGGUGGGGGUGCAUUGGUUUCGACAGGGCGGGCGAAGGUGAGCAGGCAACUCGUCAGGCGAUCGACGUUAAUGAAGCAAAUCUACAAACGCCAACGAUGAGCGUUUCGCACUGGCCGCUUAAGGUCUAUGCCGAGGCUGCUUGAGCCUUGUUACCAAAGAAAAGCCGGCGGGGACUUCGGUCCCCGUCGUCA
rnacentral:tmRNA from 1 species